GUGAGGGAAAGGUGAAAAGCACCCCGGGAGGGGAGUGAAAGAGAACCUGAAACCGUGUGCCUACAAGUAGUCAGAGCCCGAUGACACUUCGUGUAUGGGUGAUGGCGUGCCUUUUGUAGAAUGAACCGGCGAGUUACGUUUCCUUGCGAGGUUAAGGGCAAGACCCGGAGCCGUAGCGAAAGCGAGUCUGAACAGGGCGAGUUGAGUAAGGAGGCGUAGACCCGAAACCAGGUGAUCUACCCAUGUCCAGGGUGAAGGUAAGGUAACACUUACUGGAGGCCCGAACCCGUGUACGUUGAAAAGUGCUGGGAUGAGGUGUGGGUAGCGGUGAAAUUCCAAUCGAACUUGGAGAUAGCUGGUUCUCUCCUAAAUAGCUUUAGGGCUAGCCUCAAAGUUGAGAAUCGUGGAGGUAGAGCACUGUUUGGACUAGGGGCCCGUCUUGGGUUACUGAAUUCAGAUAAACUCCGAAUGCCACUGAUUUAUAUCCGGGAGUCAGACUGCGAGUGAUAAGAUCCGUAGUCGAGAGGGAAACAGCCCAGACCGCCAGUUAAGGUCCCAAAGUAUACGUUAAGUGGAAAAGGAUGUGGAGUUGCACAGACAACUAGGAUGUUGGCUCAGAAGCAGCCAUAUUUUAAAGAGUGCGUAAUAGCUCACUAGUCGAGUGACUCUGCGCCGAAAAUGUACCGGGGCUAAACGUAUCACCGAAACUGCGGACGGACACUUCGGUGUCCGUGGUAGGAGAGCGUUCUAAAUGCAGGGAAGCCAGACCGGAAGGACUGGUGGAGCGUUUAGAAGUGAGAAUGCCGGUAUGAGUAACGAAAAAAGAGUGAGAAUCUCUUUCGCCGAAAGCCUAAGGUUUCCUGAGGAAGGCUCGUCCGCUCAGGGUUAGUCGGGACCUAAGUCGAGGCCGACAGGCGUAGACGAUGGACAACAGGUUGAUAUUCCUGUACCACCUCCCCGCCGUUUGAGUAUUGGGGGGACGCCGUGGGG
rnacentral:rRNA from 1 species